GACGAACUUUGGCGGCGUGCUUAACACAUGCAAGUCGAACGGAAAGGCCCUGCUUUUGUGGGGUGCUCGAGUGGCGAACGGGUGAGUAACACGUGAGUAACCUGCCCUUGACUUUGGGAUAACUUCAGGAAACUGGGGCUAAUACCGGAUAGGAGCUCCUGCUGCAUGGUGGGGGUUGGAAAGUUUCGGCGGUUGGGGAUGGACUCGCGGCUUAUCAGCUUGUUGGUGGGGUAGUGGCUUACCAAGGCUUUGACGGGUAGCCGGCCUGAGAGGGUGACCGGCCACAUUGGGACUGAGAUACGGCCCAGACUCCUACGGGAGGCAGCAGUGGGGAAUAUUGCACAAUGGGCGGAAGCCUGAUGCAGCAACGCCGCGUGCGGGAUGACGGCCUUCGGGUUGUAAACCGCUUUCGCCUGUGACGAAGCGUGAGUGACGGUAAUGGGUAAAGAAGCACCGGCUAACUACGUGCCAGCAGCCGCGGUGAUACGUAGGGUGCGAGCGUUGUCCGGAUUUAUUGGGCGUAAAGGGCUCGUAGGUGGUUGAUCGCGUCGGAAGUGUAAUCUUGGGGCUUAACCCUGAGCGUGCUUUCGAUACGGGUUGACUUGAGGAAGGUAGGGGAGAAUGGAAUUCCUGGUGGAGCGGUGGAAUGCGCAGAUAUCAGGAGGAACACCAGUGGCGAAGGCGGUUCUCUGGGCCUUUCCUGACGCUGAGGAGCGAAAGCGUGGGGAGCGAACAGGCUUAGAUACCCUGGUAGUCCACGCUGUAAACGGUGGGUACUAGGUGUGGGGUCCAUUCCACGGGUUCCGUGCCGUAGCUAACGCUUUAAGUACCCCGCCUGGGGAGUACGGCCGCAAGGCUAAAACUCAAAGGAAUUGACGGGGCCCCGCACAAGCGGCGGAGCAUGCGGAUUAAUUCGAUGCAACGCGUAGAACCUUACCUGGGUUUGACAUGGAUCGGGAGCGCUCAGAGAUGGGUGUGCCUCUUUUGGGGUCGGUUCACAGGUGGUGCAUGGCUGUCGUCAGCUCGUGUCGUGAGAUGUUGGGUUAAGUCCCGCAACGAGCGCAACCCUUGUUCACUGUUGCCAGCACGUUAUGGUGGGGACUCAGUGGAGACCGCCGGGGUCAACUCGGAGGAAGGUGGGGAUGACGUCAAGUCAUCAUGCCCCUUAUGUCCAGGGCUUCACGCAUGCUACAAUGGCUGGUACAGAGAGUGGCGAGCCUGUGAGGGUGAGCGAAUCUCGGAAAGCCGGUCUCAGUUCGGAUUGGGGUCUGCAACUCGACCUCAUGAAGUCGGAGUCGCUAGUAAUCGCAGAUCAGCAACGCUGCGGUGAAUACGUUCCCGGGGCU
rnacentral:rRNA from 1 species